rnacentral:rRNA from 1 species
AUGAACGCUAGCUACAGGCUUAACACAUGCAAGUCGAGGGGCAGCAUGGUCUUAGCUUGCUAAGGCCGAUGGCGACCGGCGCACGGGUGAGUAACACGUAUCCAACCUGCCGUCUACUCUUGGACAGCCUUCUGAAAGGAAGAUUAAUACAAGAUGGCAUCAUGAGUCCGCAUGUUCACAUGAUUAAAGGUAUUCCGGUAGACGAUGGGGAUGCGUUCCAUUAGAUAGUAGGCGGGGUAACGGCCCACCUAGUCUUCGAUGGAUAGGGGUUCUGAGAGGAAGGUCCCCCACAUUGGAACUGAGACACGGUCCAAACUCCUACGGGAGGCAGCAGUGAGGAAUAUUGGUCAAUGGGCGAGAGCCUGAACCAGCCAAGUAGCGUGAAGGAUGACUGCCCUAUGGGUUGUAAACUUCUUUUAUAAAGGAAUAAAGUCGGGUAUGUAUACCCGUUUGCAUGUACUUUAUGAAUAAGGAUCGGCUAACUCCGUGCCAGCAGCCGCGGUAAUACGGAGGAUCCGAGCGUUAUCCGGAUUUAUUGGGUUUAAAGGGAGCGUAGAUGGAUGUUUAAGUCAGUUGUGAAAGUUUGCGGCUCAACCGUAAAAUUGCAGUUGAUACUGGAUAUCUUGAGUGCAGUUGAGGCAGGCGGAAUUCGUGGUGUAGCGGUGAAAUGCUUAGAUAUCACGAAGAACUCCGAUUGCGAAGGCAGCCUGCUAAGCUGCAACUGACAUUGAGGCUCGAAAGUGUGGGUAUCAAACAGGAUUAGAUACCCUGGUAGUCCACACGGUAAACGAUGAAUACUCGCUGUUUGCGAUAUACUGCAAGCGGCCAAGCGAAAGCGUUAAGUAUUCCACCUGGGGAGUACGCCGGCAACGGUGAAACUCAAAGGAAUUGACGGGGGCCCGCACAAGCAGUGGAGUAUGUGGUUUAAUUCGAAGCAACGCGAAGAACCUUACCAGGGCUUGACAUCCAACUAACGAAGCAGAGAUGCAUUAGGUGCCCUUCGGGGAAAGUUGAGACAGGUGGUGCAUGGUUGUCGUCAGCUCGUGUCGUGAGAUGUUGGGUUAAGUCCCGCAACGAGCGCAACCCCUGUUUCUAGUUGCCAGCACGUCAAGGUGGGAACUCUAGAAAGACUGCCGUAGAUAAUACGGAGGAAGGUGGGGAUGACGUCAAAUCAUCAUGCCCUUUAUGACUUGGGCUACACACGUACUACAAUGGCGUUAAACAAAGAGAAGCAAGACCGCGAGGUGGAGCAAAACUCAAAAACAACGUCUCAGUUCAGAUUGCAGGCUGCAACUCGCCUGCAUGAAGUCGGAAUUGCUAGUAAUCGCGGAUCAGCAUGCCGCGGUGAAUACGUUCCCGGGCCUUGUACACACCGCCCGUCACACCAUGAGAGUUGGGGAUACCCGAAGCCUGUGAGCCAACAGUUUACUGAGGCAGCAGUCGAAGGUAGAAUCAAUGAUUGGGGUG